CGAGUCACCUGAUUCUGUGUCCUAUGCUGCAAAGAGGAUCCUGGUUUUGAAGAUCCUGCUUCUCUUUCAAGAUAUACAUGCAUUGUGUACCAAAAUUGAAUUUCCAUGAUCAUGGACUGUACAUUGUCAAGGGAAUUGAUUCUACUGCUCAACAAUAAUUGUAGGACAUUUUAUUGGUGCUGUGACUCAGAUUGGGCUUGGUCCUGGAUGGCUGAAGGUUCCCAGGGCUCCCUUAACCCGAUGAUGACUGCCAUCUGUAAUCAGGAGCCACAGCAUCUUACGAGGUCCAAGCCAUCAGAUGACUCCAGUUCCUCAAAGCCCGAAGAAAUGCAGUCUUAAUCAACCACUCAAGGACGCCAGUGGACGGAAUGUGACCAGACAGGAUGCAUUGGACACCCCAAAACACUCGAUGCCCACAAAGUCAGCAGGAAGCAAUUAUGAGGGACCUGGCUGAGCCCCCAUUCCCUACGCAUUAAGAACCUUAAUCCCCCCACCACCACGGAAUUUUUAUAAUAAACGGAAGAGUGAAAUGUAAUUCCUUUAGCAAUAUGUAAGGCUGCACUUCCAGGUUCUGAAGCAGGCGCCUGUAUUCCCUGUCCACAUGCGUGUGUCGCCCGCCAUCUGCGUCACCAGCAUCUGAAGUAGAGGUCCCCAUAAGCAGGCACAGGGCGAAGCAUCGCCCAUCAUCAGCGUGAGAAGUGGGCACGUAGUCAUGCCUGAGUCGCCCGCCAACUGCCUCACCAGCAUCUGACGUAGAAGCCCCUGUGCGCAAGCGCAGGGCAUAGCAUCGCCCAUCAUCAACAUCUUUCCCCUCAUGCGCAUGUGCUAGGAAACCUUUUAAAGCUAAAAGCACCAUUCCCAAGGCCUCUUCCACCCCAUCUGUUCACCACUCCCUGAGCUCCUCUGAACAGAUCUUCUUAAUAAACUUAUACCCGUGGGUUUGUUUGUGUUUUGUGUUCUCUCCCCAUCUCCGCAGGGCAUUUUAUUAUUCAGCCUCUGUUUUCCUCUAUCAGAAUGAUAGACAUAGUUUUUGUUUAGGCCUUUGACCAUUGUAGUCUCUAAUUCUUGGACAUUUGUACUGUGUGUGUGGUAUUUCUUCCAUCUAAUGGAGUUGAUCCUAUUAUUCAAAUGCAGGAGAUUACUCCCAUUAAUUUAGACUAGACUAUCAGCAUGGCUGAAAGUGGAAAAAUGCAAAAAAAAAAUAACCGCAGAAAUAGAAAAGUAGGAAAAUAUUUAGCUGCAUAAGGGGAAUAUCUGUGGUUCUCUGCUUAUUAUCUCCUGUUAUUUUUGCUUGGUAAUUUAGAGUCGACACAGUGUCUUGCAUGGCUAUAUCAGCAACGUGCAUGGUAGGAAAUAAUAAUCACUGUUGACUAAAAAAAAUAAAAAUAAAAAAUAACCACUGUUGACUGUUAUUGGAAUUCAUGUAAUAAAAAAUUAAUAGACAAUCAUUACAAUUUUAUCUCAGGCUAAGGAGCAUAGAAAUAAGAACUCUGAGUUCUUAGUAAUUAUGAGAUUGCCUAUUUUGAUUGGCUAUUUCCAUACCCUUAGAAACACUAUGUCAUUCUGACAUUGCUAAUAUACCAUUGCAUGCAACUAGCUUGUGAUGCAUAUUUCGGGAAACUUUCACACUUAACAUCAACAAAUCACCAACAAAUUUUGCAUGCAUAAUUCUAUCAAUAUGAAAACAAUGGAACAUUCCUAUAUCUUCUGUAAGAGUCUUAUAACGUAUACAUUAUCAGGGUAAUUUAUGUUAUCUAAUCAGAUGUUGCAAGGGGAAAGACAGAUUUCUUCACAGCCCCUCAGGGCCUGAUAGUGUGCUAGUAAUAGAUUCCAUAACCAUGCACCCAAACCAUUUACCCGAAUACA